AAUGUACUUCUGUUCGAGGUAUAGUCUGUGAAAAUGAAUAACAAUCCCACUUAUGCAUCUCUUAUUGACUAUGGAGCGUAUGAAAGAAAAGAGCAAAGGUGCAAUUCCUUUUGAUUACUCAGAGCUUGUUACACAGAACCACUAGAAUGAGCAGGCUCCUCCGGACUGGAGAGGACACAGAAGUACUGCAGAGAAAAUAGUUGGAGCAAUCUAAAGUGGAGAACAACAGCUGUUCUCUAUAUUGAAACGUCAAGAGCUGUACUGAGGAAAUCCGUCUACCAGCAGAAUCAAGAUUGUGGAGAAGGUGGUAGACAAGUUUUGCAUUUGAAAAGUCC
rnacentral:lncRNA from 1 species